CAGCCGCCGCGGUAAUACAGAGGCCUCAAGCGUUGUUCGGAUUCAUUGGGCGUAAAGGGAGCGUAGGCGGUCGGGUAAGUCGGAUGUGAAAUCCUGGGGCUCAACCUCAGAACUGCAUUCGAUACUGCUUGGCUAGAGGACUGGAGAGGUGAGUGGAAUUCACGGUGUAGCAGUGAAAUGCGUAGAUAUCGUGAGGAAGACCAGCGGCGAAGGCGGCUCACUGGACAGUUUCUGACGCUGAUGCUCGAAGGCCAGGGGAGCAAACGGGAUUAGAUACCCCAGUAGUCCCUGUCUCUUAUAC
rnacentral:rRNA from 1 species